rnacentral:rRNA from 1 species
CCUACGGGCGGCAGCAGUGAGGAAUAUUGGUCAAUGGACGAGAGUCUGAACCAGCCAAGUAGCGUGAAGGAUGACUGCCCUAUGGGUUGUAAACAUCUUUUAUAAAGGAAUAAAACGAGGCACGUGUGCCUUUUUUCAUGUACUUUAUGAAUAAGGAUCGGCUAACUCCGUGCCAGCAGCCGCGGUAAUACGGAGGAGCCGAGAGUUAUCCGAAUUUAUUGGGUUUAAAGGGAGCGUAGAUGGGUUGUUAAGUCAGUUGUGAAAGUUUGCGGCUCAACCGUAAAACUGCAAUUGAUACUGGCAGUCUUGAGUACAGUUGAGGUAGGCGGAAUUCGUGGUGUAGCGGUGAAAUGCUUAGAGAUCACGAAGAACCCCGAUUGCGAAGGCAGCUUACUAAACUGUGACUGACAUUGAUGCGCGAAAGUGUGGGUAUCAAACAGGAUUAGAUACCCGGGUAGUC